ACUUUACAAUGCUGGCAACAGCGAUAAGGGAACCUCGAGUGCCAGGUUACAAAUCUGGCUGUCGAGAUGCCUAAAAAGCAUUUCAUAGCAAGGGCCGGGCAAGACCGGUGCCAGCCGCCGCGGUAACACCGGUGGCUCGAGUGGUAACCGUUAUUAUUGGGUCUAAAGGGUCUGUAGCCGGCCGGAUAAGUCUCUUGGGAAAUCUGGCAGCUCAACUGUCAGGCUUUCAGGGGAUACUGUCUGGCUCGAGGCCGGGAGAGGUGAGAGGUACUUCAGGGGUAGGGGUGAAAUCUUGUAAUCCUUGAAGGACCACCAGUGGCGAAGGCGUCUCACCAGAACGGACCUGACGGCAAGGGACGAAAGCUAGGGGCACGAACCGG
rnacentral:rRNA from 1 species